CGUAUGACCGGGGUAUCCGGCCUGAGAGGGUGAACGGACACACUGGAACUGAGUUACACGGUCCAGACUCCUACGGGAGGCAGCAGUAGGGAAUAUUGCUCAAUGGGGGAAACCCUGAAGCAGCAACGCCGCGUGGAGGAUGAAGGUUUUAGGAUUGUAAACUCCUUUUGUUAGAGAAGAUAAUGACGGUAUCUAACGAAUAAGCACCGGCUAACUCCGUGCCAGCAGCCGCGGUAAUACGGAGGGUGCAAGCGUUACUCGGAAUCACUGGGCGUAAAGAGCGCGUAGGCGGGAUAGUCAGUCAGGUGUGAAAUCCUAUGGCUUAACCAUAGAACUGCAUUUGAAACUACUAUUCUAGAGUGUGGGAGAGGUAGGUGGAAUUCUUGGUGUAGGGGGUAAAAUCA
rnacentral:rRNA from 1 species